GCGGAGGAAAAGAAAAUAACAAUGAUUCCCCCAGUAACGGCGAGUGAACAGGGAAAAGCUCAAAGUUGGAAGCUCCUGGCCCUAGGCUAGGCGCAUUGUAAACUAAAGCUGUAAAGUAGUUCGGUUGGCCUGGUAAAAAAGUUCCCUGGAAUGGGGCGACAUGGAGGGUGAAAUCCCCGUCUUUGGCCAGAGUUCAGCCGUGCGUUUGCUUUGCUGCGAAGAGUCAGGUUGUUUGGGAAUGCAGCCUAAAAUGGGAGGUAGACUUCUCCUAAAGCUAAAUAUUGACGAAAGACCGAUAGCGAACAAGUACCGUGAGGGAAAGAUGAAAAGCACUUUGAAAAGAGGGUCAAAAAGUACGUGAAAUUGCUGAAAGGGAACCGUAUGAAAUCAGCCUGAUGUGUGGGUAAUCAGCCUGGGCUUCGGCCUGGGUGCACUUGCCCAUGUAUUAGCCUGCGACAGUUUGACCUGGGGGAAAAAAGAUGGGGGAAUGUGGCCUCGGCUUCGGUCGAGGUGUUAUAGCCCCUGUCAAAAUACCUUGGGUUGGACUGAGGACUGCAGCGAGCCGCAAGGCAUGGGUCUCGGGCGCUCUGUCUCGGCGAAAAGUGAAUCUCUGCUUCGGGUGGUGCGCUUUUCUUCAGGGCAGACUCGCCUGUUUCUUCUUUCUCUCGCUUAGGUCGUAGGCAUAAUGAUUUUAUAUGAC
rnacentral:rRNA from 1 species